UGCAAGUCGAACGCGAAAGUGGAGCAAUCCAUGAGUAGAGUGGCAAACGGGUGAGUAACACGUGGAUGACCUGCCUCCGAGCGGGGGAUAACGUCCCGAAAGGGACGCUAAUACCGCAUAACAUCCUGCCUUUUAAGAGGUGGAGAUCAAAGCCGGGGAUCGCAAGACCUGGCACUUGAAGAGGGGCCCGCGCCUGAUUAGCUAGUUGGUGGGGUAAUGGCUCACCAAGGCAACGAUCAGUAUCCGGCCUGAGAGGGCGGACGGACACACUGGGACUGAGACACGGCCCAGACUCCUACGGGAGGCAGCAGUGGGGAAUUGUUCGCAAUGGGCGCAAGCCUGACGACGCAACGCCGCGUGGAGGAUGAAGACCUUCGGGUCGUAAACUCCUUUCGAUCGAGACGAAUGGUUUCCGGGUGAACAAUCCGGAGAAAUGACGGUACCGAGAGAAGAAGCCCCGGCUAACUCCGUGCCAGCAGCCGCGGUAAUACGGGGGGGGCAAGCGUUGUUCGGAAUUACUGGGCGUAAAGGGCUCGUAGGUGGCCAACUAAGUCAGACGUGAAAUCCCUCAGCUUAACUGGGGAACUGCGUCUGAUACUGGAUGGCUUGAGUUUGGGAGAGGGAUGCGGAAUUCCAGGUGUAGCGGUGAAAUGCGUAGAUAUCUGGAGGAACACCGGUGGCGAAGGCGGCAUCCUGGACCAAUACUGACACUGAGGAGCGAAAGCCGGGGGAGCAAACGGGAUUAGAUACCCCGGUAGUCCUGGCCCUAAACGGUGAAUGCUUGGUGUGGCGGGUAUCGAUCCCUGCCGUGCCGAAGCUAACGCAUUAAGCAUUCCGCCUGGGGAGUACGGUCGCAAGGCUG
rnacentral:rRNA from 1 species